rnacentral:rRNA from 1 species
GGCAGCAGCAAGGAAUAUUGCCCAAUGGACGCAAGUCUGAGGCAGCAACGCCGCGUGGAGGAAGAAGGCCUUCGGGUUGUAAACUCCUUUUCUGGGGGAAGAGAAAGGACGGUACCCCAGGAAUAAGUCUCGGCUAACUACGUGCCAGCAGCCGCGGUAAAACGUAGGAGGCGAGCGUUAUCCGGAUUUACUGGGCGUAAAGCGCGUGCAGGCGGUUUCCUAAGUCGGACGUGAAAGCUCCCGGCUCAACUGGGAGAGGUCGUUCGAAACUAGGAAACUUGAGGGUGGUAGAGGAGAGUGGAAUUCCCGGUGUAGUGGUGAAAUGCGUAGAUAUCGGGAGGAACACCAGUGGCGAAGGCGGCUCUCUGGGCCAUUCCUGACGCUAAGACGCGAAAGCUAGGGGAGAGAACGGGAUUAGAAACCCCGGUAUUCCUAGCCGUAAACGAUGUCAACUAGGUGUAGGGGGUAUCCAACCCCUCUGUGCUGCAGCUAACGCGUUAAGUUGACCGCCUGGGGACUACGGCCGCAAGGCUAAAACUCAAAGGAAUUGACGG